GGCAAAUAGGCCUAAGUGAAUUGGCUUGCACGUCCAUAAUAAAUUACUCUUGUGAUAAUCCAUCAUUUAUACAUAAAUCCUAACUCAGAAAAUCGACCACCUCCCCCAAUCCUCACCAACUCUUUCCGGCGACAGUAAAAUGAAACCUAUACAUACACAGAUAUAGAUACAAAUGCAUGAUAAUAAUGGAAGGUAGAUUUCAUGAGCAAGAUGACUCCACCAGCACUCUAGAAAACGUGGCCGAUUCUCCACUUUCCCUUGGGGAUGAAGCACCUGAAGAAGUUUACGAGCCGUCGCCCAAAAAAAGGUUUAAAGUUCAGUACUUUUUUUUUCUUUUUUUUUUUUAAUUUUCAGUGUAGUCGUUUUCUCUCAAUUGAGGAGUGAGAAACGAAAGUAAAUAUAGAUUCCGUUGAGUUGUUGUAUUAGGAGAAGCGCAAAGAAGAAGGUAGUGACAAUACCAAUUUGCAGCGAUGGAUCCCGGAGUAAAUCGGAGGUGUAUCCGCCGCCGGAUUCUUGUUCCUGGAGGAAAUAUGGUCAGAAACCCAUAAAGGGUUCACCUUAUCCAAGGUAAAGAUUCAAAUUUAAUCCAUUUUUUAUUAUUUUUACUUGCAUAUAAAUAGCAUAUGAACCAGUUCAAUCUUUCUUGUGGUUGCCGCCGGAAAGGGAGUAGGUGAAUGGUGAUGGUUAACUGUAUAUAGAUUAGAUUAUCGUAGGCGGCUUUGAAAAAUGCAUUGAAUGGGCACUUGGAGUAGUUGAAACUUAUGCACAUCACGCGCCUAAAAUUGGUUUAUGUGCCACCUCCUUCCAUCUACCAAAAUUUGGAAAUCUUUGGGGCCACUUCAUAUGUUUUUAGAGCAUAUAUCAUCGAUAUCUUUUCUUCAAUUUCUUUUAAUGAAAGAAAUAGAAGCUCGAGAAGGAAUACCAAAACUUAGUUCACUUGUUGAGUCUCUUUGCUUCCAUGGUUGAAUGGGUAAAGUGCCCAAUCAAGAAAAUUCGUAGAUAAGAUUCCAACUUAAUGCACUUUACUUUUGAUAACUUAUUAUUUUAUGUAGCUUGUCAACAAGUUCUAAAUUUCUCAUUAGUGCUUUGCAAGAGAAAUAAUACCCCACAAUGUACGAGUCUACAUGACAAUGAAUAGAACAUUAGUGAAUACUGAACAGAUGAAGAUGAAAAGUAAAAGUUAAAUCUUUAUCUUUUUAAUAAAAUAUAAGAACUCACUCAUUUUCUGUACUUAGCAUGUGCCUGGAAGUUAUACUAUCCAGAUUUUAAUCAACCUUUUGAUCGUUUUAAAGGUAUGCGGGUCCUAUUUGUGCAGUAAUUCUUGACUCAACGCGAGCUUAUUUUCAGAAAUAUCCUUUUAUAAAAAGGAAUAUGGAAUCAAAUGGUAAAAGGGCUAAAAAGGUCAUUCAACUUAGAUCAGUCAAUAUUUGCGACACCGAUGCACUGUAUAACGGCAUGAAUUUCUCUACAAAUUAGAUACAAAAUGGCUCUCAAAUAGGGGCUUAGGGUGUGUUCAGGAGUGAUUUUUCACCCCAAAAAAAUGAUUUUUUACGGAAUCAAAUGGUAAAAGGGCUAAAAAGGUCAUUCAACUUAUUUCAGUCAAUAUUUGCGACACCGAUGCACCGUAUAACGGCAUGAAUUUCUCUACAAAUUAGAUACAAAAUGGCUCUCAAAUAGGGGCUUACGGUGUGUUCAUGAAUGAUUUUUCACCCCAAAAAAAUGAUAUAUAUAUAUAUAUAUAUAUAUAUAUAUAUAUAUAUAUAUAUAUAUAUAUUUUUUUUUUUUUUUUUUUUUUUUUUUUUUUGUUAUUUCACUAUUUCAGCUGUAAAGUUUGAGUUCUUAUCUCGUAGGUGGCCCCCACUUUUUCCCUAAUGGUCAAAAAAUCAAUUCUCAAAAUCGCUCUCAAACGGGGACUUUAGUAUAUUCCCAACUUGUGAAUAACAAUCUUCUACAAUUAUGUUGCAUUCUAUUUCUUAAAUGUUAGAAAAAAAUAGUCUCUAAAAAAGUUAAAUCUUUUUUUUUUUUUUUUUUUGGGCUAAAUAAGACAAAUGGAGUGGAUGAUUUGCUUUCAUACACGUUUUUGCUGUUUACUAAGUUGUCUAUUUGCAUGUAUUGCAUGGCAGGGGAUAUUACAGGUGCAGCAGCUCAAAAGGUUGCCCUGCUAGGAAACAAGUUGAGCGGAGCCACCUUGAUCCCACCAUGCUCCUCAUCACCUACUAUUGUGACCACAACCACCCUCUCCUCGCCACCACAAAAUACGACCACCACCACUCUGCCACGCCAGCGGCCGCCUCCACCUCCUCGUCCGCCACUACUGUUCCCGCCGAGGAAGAAUGUGCUACAUUUGCCAACCGGCCAAAACUCGAGCAGGAGGACAGUGUCUUCACCGAGCUCGCUGUCGAGUUUGGCUGGUUGGCCGAUGUUGGGCGUACAGUACUGGAUAGUCCUGUUAUUUUGGGUUCCACUUGGGCACAAGCCGACUUGGAAGUGUUCAUGCCAAUUGGAGAAGAGGAUGAGUUUUUGUAUGGUGAUUUGGGGGAUUUGCCGGAGUCCUCACAGGUUUUCCGGCGUUGCAGUACAGAGACACCAUGCUAUGGCGGCACAGGAUAAAUAUGUUGAUGAAUUGACUUCCAAUGUGAUAGUUUCAAACGUGAAUAUCAAUAAUAAAUUGAAAGUUGGCAUAGGUUGCGCCACAAUAUAUGCUAAAAGUUUCCGUGGUUAUUGAACAUUUAUUCUUUUCAUCAUCUGUUUUCUUUUCUGUAUGUAACAAUUUGAAAGAAAAAAAACUUUUAGGCAAAGUGAGAAUGACUCUUAUCUUAUUUAAUGCAUGUAAAAUGAAUAUGCAAUUGGAAUGCUAUAAAAG
rnacentral:lncRNA from 1 species